rnacentral:rRNA from 1 species
AGUGAACGCUGGCGGUAGGCCUAACACAUGCAAGUCGAACGGCAGCACAGUAAGAGCUUGCUCUUACGGGUGGCGAGUGGCGAACGGGUGAGGAAUACAUCGGAAUCUACUUUUUCGUGGGGGAUAACGUAGGGAAACUUACGCUAAUACCGCAUACGACCUACGGGUGAAAGCAGGGGAUCUUCGGACCUUGCGCGACUGAAUGAGCCGAUGUCGGAUUAGCUAGUUGGCGGGGUAAAGGCCCACCAAGGCGACGAUCCGUAGCUGGUCUGAGAGGAUGAUCAGCCACAAUGGAACUGAGACACGGUCCAGACUCCUACGGGAGGCAGCAGUGGGGAAUAUUGGACAAUGGGCGCAAGCCUGAUCCAGCCAUACCGCGUGGGUGAAGAAGGCCUUCGGGUUGUAAAGCCCUUUUGUUGGGAAAGAAAAGCAGCAGGUUAAUACCCCGCUGUUCUGACGGUACCCAAAGAAUAAGCACCGGCUAACUUCGUG